AAAGAGCAAUAUAUAGCUGGUGGCACACCAUGGAUCCAUCGUGUGACCAAAAGUUGAACAAGUGUAUUAGCUCGACUUCUUUGGUCUCUAAGCAUGUCUGCAAACUGUUUACGGUUGUUAUACUUGUUAAAGUAAGUUUAAAUAUGGAUAUUCAAUCACAGAAGAUAAUAUGGGAACGUUUAUCUUAUACCUCUUCAGAAGCACUGUUGAAUUUCUUGUGUUGAUAAACCUGCUUAACAAAAAGCUCAUAUUCAGGUUAGUUAUUUGAAGUAUACUAUAAUUGUUUAACUUUCUAGUGUUUACCUUUACCUUUGAAUAUGCCUGGUAUGGAGGUUCAUGUAGAUACCGGUUACCAAAUAUGAGCAAAAAGCCAUAAUAGUACAAUGGAUGGAAUGGAAAUAUACAAAAUAUUGUUUAAAUAUUUGAAUAUUGCUAAAAAAAAAGCAAUUGAAUUUUCAAAAUUUUGUACAUAAUAAAAAAACUGGAAUGAUUUAUGAUAACAGGUUUUUUCAAUUGGAAUCACAAUGAUUACACCUUAUGAAGGCACCAUACUAGACAUCACAUUUUUUUCAUGACCACUUUUUUCAACAAGACAGUUUUCCACCAUUUGGCGCUCUACGUUUUUCACCCUUCAAAUAAACCAUGGAGGUUGAUCACCAAUUUCUAUCAAACAUCCUUGGCUAAUCCAAAUGAGAGAAUAGUCCUCUUGACAACAGUGUUUAAUCCUAUUUCCACUCAACAACUAGUAAUGAAAACUUGUUUUAAUCUGCAACUAGAGAAAAUCAUCUUCCGAAAGUACUUGGUAUGACCAAUUCAGUGUCUUGUAGUGGCAAAAACAAUACAAUCAUGAAGGCUGUUCUUGUGGCAUCUUUAUAUCCACAAUAUGGAGAGAAUUUAAAGACUACACAUUUGAAUGAAUCAACUGUUACUGGGAAAGUAGUAGAGGUUUAUCAACCAAGUCAUGAAAAGGUUCAAAAGAUAUGACAAAUAAGCAUAAUAUAGUGCUAAGCAUGUUUUUUCCAUCCUUUGUGGAGAAAACAAACAUGCACCAAUUUAGAAACUCUAAUUUCAAUCCCAUGGAAACAAUAGAGAUAUUAUAGUACAUUACCUAUUUCAUAAGCAAUACAUCCAAUAAAAAUGAUCAAAUUACAUUGCCCUUAAAAAGAUCUUAGUUACUUCAUAAGAUUAGUCUCUACCCUAGUUUUCCAUGAAAAACAAAAUUACAUUGUCAUAUGUGCUCUCAACCUUUAAAUUGCCAUUCCCGACGACACAUUGGGCAAUGUGCUUGUGAGGUUUGAGAAUUCACCCAUUUCAAGAUACAAUGUAAAUGAAAUGCGUGAUUGCAUGCACCCCAAACUGCAAGUAGUGGAAAAAAGAGUUAGAAUACUAAUACAAACAAUUAAAGAAUAUAUUAUUUGAUCUGUCAGGAACUUCAUGAACUCAAAUCUCGAAACAAACAGAAAUACAAAUUAUCGAUGUAUUGAUGCAAUGUUUCAGGGAAAGGAGGAAGACAUCAAGGUGGUGACGACUAAUUUUCAAGGAUGAAUUCAUAGCUCAUAAAAGAAUUGUCAUCUUAUUGCUCCCUUGAAAAAAUCUCAAUCAUGCUGGAAUUGUUUCGAACUCCUUGAGCAUAAAGCUUUAUAAAUAAUCCCCAUGUAUGUCAGUGAUAACACAUCUUAGUAACAGUUUAAACUAAUGCAUAAUCAUAUAUAUAUAUGAAACCACAAAUGAUGUUUAUAAGUAUCCAGGCUUAUCUACAUUCAGUAAAAUUAGAAAGGAACUGAGUGAUUAACUGUCUUGCAUGUAAAGAGCUAAAAAGGCAAUAAAAGGGGAACCAUUGUGUACAAGGUCAAAAACAUACAAAACUUAUAAACAAUGCAAAAUUCAAUGCACACUACAAUGAUUGUUAGUUGAAACCAGUUGGCUGAUUGCAUGAUAGUGUAAUGGCACAAAAAGAACAACAAGAACCCAUAUUAGCAACAAAUUCGAUAGGCCUGCUGCAGAAGAAAGGUCAGUCCAGCAAAUUUUCUUUUUCAAAAAAAGAACAGCGCAUUUUCUCACAUAAGGAGCAAAAUGAGAGACUUUAAAGGGAAUAAAUCACCAACAUAGUCAUCUUAGAGAAGAAUCAACAUAAAUUUUCGGUUAGAAUGAGUCACUCUUUUAUGCCUAUUCUAUUAAGAAGAAUGUUGUGCAUGUGCACCAUAGGAAUGUGUACUUAUUGGUUAUGUUGUAGGCCUAUAUCAACUUGACUGAGACGUGGAACAAAGGCAAGGCCUGGAAUAUUGAUGAAAUUAAUUCAUGCUAGCAUGAUUCUUUAGUCUUUCUCCUACUACUUUUCUUCAGCUCAGUUCACAUUCCCCUGCUUUUUAGGGAAUUUAUUUCAUUACACAGUAUUUUUUUAUCUCUUUCUUUGACGAUUGCAUGAUAGUUUCAUGGUAACAUAUAUAUCACGGUAGUUGGCUGCACGAUACUUUCAAUUUCAUAUAAAUUUAUGUAUAAAUGUUAAAACAAAGGAUUUCAUUCAAUAAAAUAAACAAUCAAAUUUAAAGAACAUAUAAUGUUAGUGCAAAUUUCAAUUACACCAAUACAAAUAAGAGUUUACUAUUUUGCCACGUCACAACACUCUUAUAAGUCUAUUUUGAAAUUAAUUUACGCUCGCAAUGCAUGUCAUUUGAACAUAUUUCAAUGUCAUUUCACAAUUCAGCAGAAUAGGAAAGUGGAGAAACAGGUAUGAACAAUGCAGUUGAGCUUAACUACUUCUUGAGUAGCAUAGAACUCACAAUAUAUAAAAGAUUAUUAGAUCAAGUGAUUAACCAAAGACAAUUAUAUGCUAACUUACUGAGUGGACAGUCAUCCCCAGGAAGUUUACAAUCAGGACAGCAUCCAUCAAAGGCCAUCCUGCAAAUCCCACAUGUUUCAUCCUGUGCAUCCCAAGUUAGGCUGAAAAUUUGAAAUAAAGUUAGUUAUAGAUGAAAAAAGAAGAAGAUAACUUACUCUUUAACACCACCACCAGAAAAGCAAUAAAGAGAAAACUAAGUCAAGAAAAACACGAUUUGAAGCAAAAGCACAAACAGGUAGAAUGCAAAAAUGAAAAGGAUACGCAAGAUAUUGACUUUCAUUUUCUGAUGAUGAAGUUAGGGUUUGGGACGAAGAAGAUUUGAAUUGAAAAGGAGA
rnacentral:lncRNA from 1 species